AGUCACUGACAUUAGAUACCCGUGUAGUCCCAGCCGUAAACUAUGCGCGUUAGGUGUACUGGUGACCACGAGUCACCGGGGUGCCGGAGAGAAGUUGUUAAGUCUGCUACUUGGGAGUACGUCCGCAAGGAUGAAACUUAAAGGAAUUGGCGGGGGAGCACCGCAACGGGAGGAGCGUGCGGUUUAAUUGGAUUCAACACCGUAAACUCACCAGGGAAGACUGUUACAUGAAGGCCGAGAUGAAGACUCUGCUAGAUUUUCAG
rnacentral:rRNA from 1 species